UUGAAUGGCCUUAUUUAAUUGUACUUACAAAGAAGAUACAGUUCGCAUAACUGCUAUAGAAGGAUGACCUAAUAUCAUAUGCCAUAACAUCCCAUCUUUAACUAUUUUAACAAUAGUUGUCCCAACUGUAGGAGUUGUUACUUGUCCAGUGUCUCUUAGUAAGUAAAGGUCACUUAUUUCUCUACCAAUUCCCAUAAUCUUCCCAUUGGAGAGCCCCUAAAAAUAUACAUAGAUCAGGUAAGAAUAUCACCGCACAACACAAUUCCUUGGUGAGUUUAGAGACGGAUAGAAGAUUAAAUUUAAAAUCUGGAACAUAUAGCACAUUAGGAACUUCAUAUCCACCUAAUACCAUGCAUUUCUGUAUUAGCUAUCUGAGAUUUACCACCUAUUGGUUUUUCCAUUUUAUCAACAUGUGCAUCUUCUAUACUUCUAAGAGCUUUCAGAAGUUCUCUACAAGGUGUAAUAUAAUGUUUAACUCCUGAAUCCACUAUCCAAUCGUAUUUUAAGGUUUUGGUCAAUAAAGAAGUGAUACCUUCUAUAUUAGAAGCACAUCGAGUAGGUGAAGUCUUAUCCAGCUUGUUCAGCACUCCUUGGUAUUGAUCUUUAGUAAACAAACUUUUUACCCUUUGCGGAUAUCCCCCAAAAGGUUCAGCUUCAGCAAUCGUAGUAGAAUUGGCAUGAGGUUUGAAUUCACUAGUUUGCAGACCUUUCUUCUUGCUCUUAAAGUUUGGAGGAUAAUCCACACGUUUAUAUCAAUCAAUUUUUUUGUGCCCUUUGUAACCACAUACUCCACAAGGUGGUC
rnacentral:lncRNA from 1 species